AGCAGCCGCGGUAAUUCCAGCUCCAAUAGCGUAUAUUAAAGUUGUUGCAGUUAAAAAGCUCGUAGUUGAACUUCGGGAUCAAUUAGGUGGUCAUGCCUUGGUAUGUACUGAUUUUAUUGGUUCUCACCUUCUAAAGAACUAUAAUGUCAUUUAUUUGAUGUUAUAGGGAAUUAGGAUUGUUACCUUGAAAAAUUAGAGUGUUUAAAGCAGGCUCACGCUUGAAUACAUUAGCAUGGAAUAAUGAAAUAGGACAUCGCAUUCUAUUUUGUUGGUUUCUAGGAUCGAUGUAAUGAUUAAUAGGGAUAGUUGGGGGCAUUAGUAUUCAAUUGUCAGAGGUGAAAUUCUUGGAUUUAUUGAAGACUAACUACUGCGAAAGCAUUUGCCAAGGAUGUUUUCAUUAAUCAAGAACGAAAGUUAGGGGAUCGAAGACGAUCAGAUACCGUCGUAGUCUUAACCAUAAACUAUGCCGACUAGGGAUCGGAUGAUGUUGAUUUUUAAUGA
rnacentral:rRNA from 1 species